GUAGGGAAUAUUGGGCAAUGGAUGCAAGUCUGACCCAGCCAUCCCGCGUGCCGGAAGAAGGCCCUCAGGGUUGUAAACGGCUUUUGACGGUGAAGAAUCGACAGGAUGCGUCCUGUUUUGACGGUAGCCGUUGAAUAAGCACCGGCUAACUACGUGCCAGCAGCCGCGGUAAUACGUAGGGUGCAAGCGUUAAGCGGAAUUACUGGGCGUAAAGCGUGCGCAGGCGGUUUUGUAAGACAGGCGUGAAAUCCCCGGGCUCAACCUGGGAAUUGCGCUUGUGACUGCAAGGCUGGAGUGCGGCAGAGGGGGAUGGAAUUCCGCGUGUAGCAGUGAAAUGCGUAGAUAUAGGAAGGAACACCAGUGGCGAAGGCGACUACCUGGACUGAUACUGACACUGAGGUGCGAAAGCGUGGGGAGCAAACAGGAUUAGAAACCCUAGUAGUCC
rnacentral:rRNA from 1 species